UGGGCCUUCCUCAUCACCAGGUCGCCUUCUCUAAACUGCCUUGGCAUCACCUUCGAGUUAUAUCUUCGUUCAAUCCUCCUCUUCACCGCCUCAGCCUUCAAUCUCGCUUCCUCUCUAACCUCAUCCAGUAGAUCCAGGUUCAGCCUUCUCUCUUCAUUCGAGUCUUCCUCUACAAAGUUCUGGAAUCUCGGCGAGCUCUCCUGAAUCUCUACUUGAAUCAUCGCAUCACACCCAUAGACUAGGCUGAACGGGGUCUCAUGGGUUCCUGACUGCUCGGUGGUAUGGUAUGCCCAGACUAUACGGGGCACCUCCUCAGCCCAGCUUCCCUUGGCUUUUUCUAGCCUUCUCUUCAAACCUCUCAACAACACCCGAU
rnacentral:lncRNA from 1 species